rnacentral:rRNA from 1 species
AGUUUGAUCCUGGCUCAGUUAAUACCGAAUAAUCGUUGGAACCGCAUGGUUCUAACGUAAAAGGCGGCCUUGCCGUCACUUUCAGAUGGACCCGCGGCGCAUUAGCUAGUUGGUAAGGUAACGGCUUACCAAGGCAACGAUGCGUAGCCGACCUGAGAGGGUGAUCGGCCACACUGGGACUGAGACACGGCCCAGACUCCUACGGGAGGCAGCAGUAGGGAAUCUUCCGCAAUGGACGAAAGUCUGACGGAGCAACGCCGCGUGAACGAUGAAGGUCUUCGGAUCGUAAAGUUCUGUUGUUAUGGGAAGAACAAGUGCCAGAGGAAAUGCUGGCACCUUGACGGUACCUAACCAGAAAGCCACGGCUAACUACGUGCCAGCAGCCGCGGUAAUACGUAGGUGGCAAGCGUUGUCCGGAAUUAUUGGGCGUAAAGCGCGCGCAGGCGGUUCCUUAAGUCUGAUGUGAAAGCCCACAGCUCAACUGUGGAGGGCCAUUGGAAACUGGGGAACUUGAGUACAGAAGAGGAGAGCGGAAUUCCACGUGUAGCGGUGAAAUGCGUAGAUAUGUGGAGGAACACCAGUGGCGAAGGCGGCUCUCUG